rnacentral:rRNA from 1 species
AACGAACGCUGGCGGCAUGCCUAACACAUGCAAGUCGAACGAGACCUUCGGGUCUAGUGGCGCACGGGUGCGUAACGCGUGGGAACCUGCCUUUAGGUUCGGAAUAACUCAGAGAAAUUUGAGCUAAUACCGGAUGAUGUCUUCGGACCAAAAGAUUUAUCGCCUUUAGAUGGGCCCGCGUAAGAUUAGCUAGUUGGUGGGGUAAAGCCUACCAAGGCGACGAUCUUUAGCUGGUCUGAGAGGAUGAUCAGCCACACUGGGACUGAGACACGGCCCAGACUCCUACGGGAGCAGCAGUGGGAAAUAUUGGACAAUGGGCGAAAGCCUGAUCCAGCAAUGCCGCGUGAGUGAUGAAGCCUUAGGGUUGUAAAGCUCUUUACCCGAGAUGAUAAUGACAGUAUCGGGAGAAU